rnacentral:rRNA from 1 species
UACGGAGGGUGCAAGCGUUAUCCGGAUUUACUGGGUUUAAAGGGUGCGUGGGCGGGCCAUUAAGUCAGUGGUGAAAGCUCCGAGCUUAACUCGGAAACUGCCAUUGAUACUAUUGGUCUUGAAUUCGGUCGAGGUUGGCGGAAUGUGUCGUGUAGCGGUGAAAUGCUUAGAUAUGACACAGAACACCGAUUGCGAAGGCAGCUAGCUAGACCGACAUUGACGCUGAGGCACGAAAGCGUGGGGAUCAAACAGG